rnacentral:rRNA from 1 species
AUUGAACGCUGGCGGCAGGCCUAACACAUGCAAGUCGAGCGGAGCGGCGGACGGGUGAGUAAUGACUAGGAAUCUGCCUGGUAGUGGGGGAUAACGUACGGAAACGGGCGCUAAUACCGCAUGUUAGCAGUUGAGCCUAGGUCGGAUUGGCUAGUUGGUGGGGUAAGGGCGUACCAAGGCGACGAUCCGUACCUGGUCUGAGAGGAUGAUCAGCCACACUGGAACUGAGACACGGUCCAGACUCCUACGGGAGGCAGCAGUGGGGAAUAUUGGACAAUGGGCGAAAGCCUGAUGCAGCCAUGCCGCGUGUGUGAAGAAGGUCUUCGGAUUGUAAAGUACUUUCAGUUGGGAGGCGUUACCAACAGAAGAAGCACCGGCUAACUUCGUGCCAGCAGCCGCGGUAAUAC